rnacentral:rRNA from 1 species
GAUGAACGCUGGCGGCGUGCCUAAUACAUGCAAGUCGAGCGAACAGACGAGGCGCUUGCUCCUCUGACGUUAGCGGCGGACGGGUUAGUAACACGUGGAUAACCUACCUAUAAGACUGGGAUAACUUCGGGAAACCGGAGCUAAUACCGGAUAAUAUAUUUAACCGCAUGUUUCAAUAGUGAAAGACGGUUUUGCUGUCACUUAUAGAUGUAUCCGCGCCGCAUUAGCUAUUUGGUAAGGUAACGGCUUACCAAGGCAACGAUGGGUAGCCGACCUGAGAGGGGGAACGGCCACACUGGAACUGAGACACGGUCCAGACUCCUACGGGAGGCAGCAGUAGGGAAUCUUCCGAAAUGGGCGAAAGCUUGACGGAGCAACGCCGCGUGAGUGAUGAAGGUCUGCGGAUCGUAAAACUCUGUUAUUAGGGAAGAACAAAUGUGUAAGUAACUAUGCACGUCUUGACGGUACCUAAUCAGAAAGCCACGGCUAACUACGUG